rnacentral:rRNA from 1 species
UACGGAGGAUCCGAGCGUUAUCCGGAUUCAUUGGGUUUAAAGGGUGCGCAGGCGGGAGAUUAAGUCGGCGGUGAAAUUUUGCAGCUCAACUGUAAAAGUGCCUUCGAAACUGGUUUCCUUGAGUGUAGAUGAAGUAGGCGGAAUUUGUGGUGUAGCGGUGAAAUGCAUAGAUAUCACGAGGAACUCCGAUUGCGCAGGCAGCUUACUAAACCAUAACUGACGCUCAGGCACGAAGGCGUGGGGAUCAAACAGGAUUAGAUACCCCCGUA